rnacentral:rRNA from 1 species
UAGGGAAUCUUCCGCAAUGGACGAAAGUCUGACGGAGCAACGCCGCGUGAGUGAAGAAGGAUUUCGGUUCGUAAAACUCUGUUGUUAGGGAAGAAAAAAUGUAUAGUAACUAUAUACAAAAGAGACGGUACCUAACCAGAAAGCCACGGCUAACUACGUGCCAGCAGCCGCGGUAAUACGUAGGUGGCAAGCGUUGUCCGGAAUUAUUGGGCGUAAAGCGCGCGCAGGUGGUUUAGAAAGUCUGAUGUGAAAGCCCACGGCUCAACCGUGGAGGGUCAUUGGAAACUAAUAAACUGGAGUGCAGGAGAGAAAAGUGGAAUUCCUAGUGUAGCGGUGAAAUGCGUAGAGAUUAGGAGGAACACCGGUGGCGAAAGCGGCUUGUUAGCCUGCAACUGACACUGAGGCGCGAAAGCGUGGGGAGCAAACAGG